AUACGUAGGGUGCGAGCGUUGUCCGGAAUUACUGGGCGUAAGGAGCUCGUAGGUGGUUUGUCGCGUCGUCUGUGAAAUUCCGGGGCUUAACUCCGGGCGUGCAGGCGAUACGGGCAUAACUUGAGUACUGUAGGGGAGACUGGAAUUCCUGGUGUAGCGGUGAAAUGCGCAGAUAUCAGGAGGAACACCGGUGGCGAAGGCGGGUCGCUGGGCAGUAACUGACGCUGAGGAGCGAAAGCAUGGGUAGCGAACAGGAUUAGAUACCCUGGUAGUCCAUGCCGUAAACGGUGGGCGCUAGGUGUAGGGGUCUUCCACGACUUCUGUGCCGUAGCUAACGCAUUAAGCGCCCCGCCUGGGGAGUACGGCCGCAAGGCUAAAACUCAAAUGAAUUGACGGGG
rnacentral:rRNA from 1 species